UGGUUAGCUCAGUUGGUAGAGCGCUCCACUUGUAAUGGAGAGGUCCCGGGUUCGAUACCCGGGCCAGGCG
rnacentral:tRNA from 1 species